CUCCCAUUUGGUCCCCUAGGGGAGUGUCCACCAGGUGGGAGACCUGCAUAAAUACUGGGCAGGUAGCCCUCCUUAAACAGACCACUGCUUGACCCUCAACACAGAGCCUUGUCUCGUUCUUGGGGGGAUUCACUGUAUGCUGUUAGAGACUGAUUGCCAGGAGUGUAAGCUGAUUGUCUGCUUUUCUUGUUCGUCUGCUAGCAGCUAUUUGGGAGGUUCCAGUUCGGGAGUUGGAGUGCUAUUUUGUAUCCAGUUUGGGAGUUUAGUGUUCUGCAGUAGCUGUGCCUGUAUCUCUGGAAAGGGGGCCAUCGCCUAAACGGUUUUUACCCCUUGUGUGCAAAACGGUCCGUUACAAAUAUAAUUUACACAAAUGAUUUUACUAUAAAUGCUUAAAUGAAUACAUUCUUAAUACAUAUGGGAGUCUGGCUUGCAAUAGCGGGUCAAAGGUUAUAAUAACAGUGGGCCUUUAUCAAUCUAUCUGAACAAG